UGUUCAUCUAUGAAACACUUGGUUUUAAGGGAAUAACUAAAGCCUUUGUGAUCCAGAAGAGGUUUGAUUUGGCAAAUUAUAUAGCCCUUAUUAUUUGAAUCAUAGCUAUAAAAGAGAAACACAUUCUUCUCAUAGGAAAAAAAGUGGAUAUAUAUGUACAAGAUUUUGUAAGCUGUCACUGUCUUGAAAUCAAUUGGCAAAAAUAUUCUACAGUCUAAGAGUAUUCAUAGGAUGGGGGCUUUGCAAACAUUGGAAAAGGAUUCAGCUAAUGAGCAGUAAGAAGAAUAGCACUUGCUUCUCUUUAUAGUGACCAUCUAUGAUGGAAUAUUGGUUCUUAUGGUCAGUAAUCUUUUUGGCCACCAUGGAUGAACAGAACAGUUCUCUGUAUUCCAUCUCUAAUUGAUUGGCUGCUACUUCUUGAUGUGCAUUCUGAGGCUGCCUCUAAACUCAGGAAGUGGAGAAAGCCACAGUUCAUUAGUGAUGUAUGCCAUGGGCGGAAGAGUGGGGACAGGACGAGCAUCAGAUAUUUGUCAUUUCUGACUUAAGUCAUCCCCAUGACAGGAACAUCCGUAUAUGUCUUUGCUUCUCUAACUUUUUCAGAGAUUCAGCUCAAAUUGCACCUCUUUUGAAAUUAAAUGCUCAUGGAACCUCAGUUACAUUAAAUGGAAUAUAUUGGUUUGGAGUUUGUUAUUAUUUGUAAAACUCCAAGCAGCCAUUGUAGCCAAGAGUAAAUUAAUG
rnacentral:lncRNA from 1 species